rnacentral:rRNA from 1 species
AUUGAACGCUGGCGGCAUGCUUUACACAUGCAAGUCGAACGGCAGCGCGGGCUUCGGUCUGGCGGCGAGUGGCGAACGGGUGAGUAAUACAUCGGAACGUGCCCAGUAGCGGGGGAUAGCUCGGCGAAAGCCGGAUUAAUACCGCAUACGACCUGAGGGUGAAAGCGGGGGAUCUUCGGACCUCGCGCUAUUGGAGCGGCCGAUGGCAGAUUAGCUAGUUGGUGGGGUAAAGGCCUACCAAGGCGACGAUCUGUAGCUGGUCUGAGAGGACGACCAGCCACACUGGGACUGAGACACGGCCCAGACUCCUACGGGAGGCAGCAGUGGGGAAUUUUGGACAAUGGGCGAAAGCCUGAUCCAGCAAUGCCGCGUGUGUGAUGAAGGCCUUCGGGUUGUAAAGCACUUUUGGCGGGAACGAAAAGGACUGUGCCAAUACCACGGUUCGAUGACGGUACCCGCAGAAUAAGCACCGGCUAACUACGUG